GCCUGGCUGGCUCAGUUGGUAGAGCAUGUGACUCUUGAUCCCGAGGUUGUGAGUUCGAGUCCCACACAGGGUG